rnacentral:rRNA from 1 species
UACGUAGGGUGCAGGCGUUAAUCGGAAUUACUGGGCGUAAAGCGUGCGCAGGCGGUUUGCUAAGACAGGUGUGAAAUCCCCCGGGCUUAACCUGGGAACUGCGCUUGUAACUGGCAAGCUAGAGUGUGGCAGAGGGGGGGUGGGAAUUCCACGUGUAGCAGUGAAAUGCGUUAGAGAUGUGGAGGAACACCGAUGGCGAAGGCAGCCCCCUGGGCUAACCACGUGAC